rnacentral:rRNA from 1 species
CCUACGGGAGGCAGCAGUGAGGAAUAUUGGUCAAUGGGCGCGAGCCUGAACCAGCCAAGUAGCGUGAAGGAUGACUACCCUACGGGUUGUAAACUUCUUUUUUAAAGGAGUAAAGUGAGGCACGUGUGUCUUUUUGUAUGGACUUUAUGAAUAAGGAUCGGCUAAACCCGGGCCAGGAGCCGCGGUAAUACGGAGGAUCCGAGCGUUAUCCGGAUUUAUUGGGUUUAAAGGGAGCGUAGAUGGGUUGUUAAGUCAGUUGUGAAAGUAUGCGGCUCAACCCUAAAAUUGCAUUUGAUACUGGCAGCCUUGAGUACAGUUGAGGUAUGCGGAAUUCGUGGUGUAGCGGUGAAAUGCUUAGAUAUCACGAAGAACUCCGAUUGCGAAGGCAGCCUACUAAACUGCCACUGACAUUGAUGCUCGAAAGUGUGGGUAUCAAACAGGAUUAGAUACCCUAGUAGUC